CAGAAAUGAAGAUUUAUUCAGAAUGAGAAAUCACAGCAAAUUAUACAUUUCAAAAAGCUGAAAGUUGACAACAUAGACAUCACAAAAACCCAGAAAAGAAUAAAAAUAUAUUUUAUAAACUAUUAUUGAUCCUCUGCUGCCACUCAUCUACAAUGUUUUCAUCUUGCAUGUUUUGGCUAUAUGUUCUCUGAUUUCUUCAUAGGACAAUAAUUUUGUAUUAUCAUUUUCUAUAGGGAGAAAAAAGGUAAUUCUAUCUUUCCUGUAAACAUGGUUGGCCCUAGUUUGGUUGGCCCUCGGUAGUUUGAAAACGUGCAUCUGUUGGCUUCUUUGCUUGGCAUUGGUAAUGUCACACCUCAGCCAUUCUCUGUUCAGCUAUGUGAGCUCCUGAUCAGCCUCCCAGGCCUUUGUCCCUCAAUUCCCCCUCAGCUGCGUCAGCUCAGUCACAGCCUUGCCCACAUGGGCACUUGCCCCUCACCUGCCUCUGCUGCUCCAGUCCUGGGGUAGGGGACAGAGUGGCUAUGGGACCUGGUCGUGAUGACCUCUGAGUGGGAUGCUGAGCAGGGUCUUAUUGGCUCUUUCCUCCUGGAGUUGAAGCGUGUGGAGCCUUGGUGAGUGAGUCCCCCAGAAACACGUGGGAGCCCUGCCAUUGAAGGUGGGCUAGCACCUGUAGUCCUAGGACCCUGCUGGGGAGUGGUGUGUGACAUUUGCUGGGGCAAUGUGCCCUACUGGGGCCACUGUGGCCUCCCAGCCAGCCCUCAAGUAUAAUGCAUUGAGGCACAGAAAGGCCAGUUUUGGGUGUGGGGCCAUGAGGUGCGGGCUCUGGUGGCCUCAUGGUCAGUCCCCCUCUGGUCCUGGGUUAGCAUUUCCCAGAGGGGCCUGGGAUGCCCUGUGAGAAGAGGCUCCCUAGUUGUCUUAGUUCAGGCUACAAAGUACCAUAGACUGGGUGGCUUAUAAACAACAGUCAUUGAUUUCUCACAGCUCUGGUGGCUGGAACUCCAAGCUGGAGUGCCAGCACCACUGAUUUCUGGUGAGGGCUCUCUUCUGGGCUGCAGACAGCUGACUUCUAUCCUUGCAUGGUGGAAAGAGAGCAAAGGAGCGCUCUGUUCUCUUCUUAAAAGGUUGGUAAUCCCAUUCACAAGGGCUCCACCCUCAUGACCUAAUCACCUCCCAGAGGCCUCACCUCCUAAUGCCCUCAUUAUGGGGAUUAAAUCUCAACAUAUAAAUUGGGUGGGGGGGGGCGAUACAUUCAGUCCAUAACAUGUGGGAGACCCUGUAUUACCAUUACCAUGUUAAAUACUCUGAGAAGCCCUUCAAUGAAGAAACCUGAUUGGGUCAAUGAAACUUUCUCCCAAAGUUUCCCACAGAACCCUUCUUUCAUCCAACAUGUAUUAACAUCUCGCACUUAAGAAAACACUGUCAUAUAGAGACUUCCUGAGAGAGAAGCAAGGGUAAUGAAGGUCCCAGACCCCACAGAAGGAGGCCUCACAAUUGGGUUCCUCCUCGGGAUAUAAGACACUUUUGUGGCACAUCUUUCUCAGUGAUGUUACAUUCAACUCAGGCUAGAAGGAGCCUCACACUCACUGGACACGGGCUCGGAUUGGAUUUAAUUUAACAUAACCAGGCUGGGCAUGGUGGCUCAUGCCUGUAAUCCCAGCACUUUAGGAGGCCAAGGUGGGAGGACUGCUUGAGCUCAAGAGUUCAAGACCAGCCUGGGCAAUACAGUGAGACCCCAUGUCAAUUAGAAAAAAAAAGAAGAAGAAGAAGGCCAGGUGUGGUGGCUCAUGCCUGUAAUCCCAGCACUUUGGGAGGCUGAGGUGGGCAGAUCAUGAGGUCAAGAGAUUGAGACCAUCCUGGCCAGCAUGGUGAAACCCUGUCUCUACUAAAAAUACAAAAAUUAGUUGAGCAUGGUGGUGCGUGCCUGUAGUCCCAGCUACUCUGGAGGCUAAGGCAGGAGAACCACUUGAACCUGGGAGGUGGAAGUUGUAGUGAGCCGAGAUUGCACCACUGCACUCCAGCCUGGUGAGAGAGUGAGACUCUGUCAAUUAAAAAAAAAAAAAAAAGAAAAUAAUUUAACAUAACUUUUCGAGUUAGUUAAAGAAAACCUAGAUAGGCCCACACUAGGAGUGGAGGGAGCUUGGAUAAACUCGGGCAAGAGGGGCAUCCAAGCAUGGAGGACAGGGAUACCGUUCGGAGUUUAGAAAAAUUGAAGACAGAAAAUCAGAACUUGGGCUGGUUGCAGUGGCUCACACUUGUAAUCCCAGCACUUUGGGAGGCUGAGGUGGGCGGAUCACUUGAGGCCAAGAGUUCAAGAUCGGCCUGGCCAACACGCCAAAACCCUGUCUCUACUAAAAAAUACAAAGUUAGCUGGGCAUGUUGGAGCAUACUUGUAAUCCCCACUACUUGGGAGGCUGAGGUGGGAGAAUUGCUUGAACCUGGGAGGCUGAGGUGGGAGAACUGCUUGAACCCGGGAGGCAGAGUUUGCAAUAAGCCAAGAUUGCACCACUGCACUCCAGCCUGGGUGACGGAGGAAGACUCUGUCUCAAAAGAAAAAAAAAAGAAAAACAGAAAUCACUACCUAAAAACCAAAGCCUCAGACCUACCGCUGAGAAUCUGGAUGAGCUGUGCUUUGAGUGGCUGAGCUCCAGUCAUAAGGAUUAGACCUUCCCAGAGGAAAGAUAUGCAGGUAUAGGAGACACACACAGGUUAACCUGUAGCUUUGGGGGUAAAAGGCCCUCCAGGGAUUUAUAUGUGGAUAACAGGAAAGGGAAAAGGAAGGACUGGUGCAGAAAUCAUGAAAAGCAACUUGACCAGGUGUGAGAAAUGGAUGAUGUGAUGGACAUCAAGCAGACACCAUAGGUCGUUAUUUUAGCUCUCUAGAAUCUUGCAGAAAGUAUUAUUCAGCUCCUGACUUCCCUUAAGAAUAACAAUUACCCACGGUACAUAUGCACCUUUGGAAAGAUCUGAACAAAAUGGGCCUAAAAAAUGGCAGGGGGAUAAAAUUGGUACAUAGGGUACUGGUCAAAUAAGUUCUAAAAAGCUUCCUGCUUCCAGCAGAGAUGGCCACAGUUCAUGUAAAUGGCCAUUAGAAAAGAAACACUAUAGAAGUUCUAGAGAACAGGCUUGUAGAUAAAGCUGCUAAGCAAGGCUCUAUGAAGGAAGAGGUUAAACUUUUUAGCCUGAUCCCAGGUAUCCCUAAGAUGGCAUUAAAACCUCAAUUUUCUAAGGAGGAGGGGGAAAAACUGGGCAAAAUAGGGGCCACUCAAACUAAGGAUGGGAGGUGGAUGCUACCUGAUGGGAGAGAAAUAAUAAGCAAACCCAUAAUAAGAGAAUCAAUGUCUACACUGCAUAAGGGAAGUCAUUGGGGUCCCCAGACCAUGUAUGAUGCAAUACUCAAGAAUUAGGGGUGUAUAGAGAUUUAUACACUUGCUAAACAAGUGUGCAGGGGUUGUGUAAACUGCCACAGAAUGAACAAAAAGGUAGUUAAAAAACAGACUACCAGAAGAAGACCUCCUGGGUUAAGGCCAUUUCAAAGCUUUCCCAUAUUUAGGCAGGACUACUAACCUUCCUACUGUGGAAACCAAAGACUAAUUUUUAAGAAAUUAUAUACUGGCCAUAUCCUCCACCCUGUCAUCCCUUAGGUUAAAAGAACUUCUAACUCAAACCCCGCCUCUUAAGUUUACAGCUCACCACUUCCAGCCUGGGAACUCCGUGCUAAUUGAGACUUGGAAAGAAGACAAGCUCCAGCCAUGCUGGGAAGUUUCCUGUCAAGGGCUCCUGAUCACUAAGACAGAUGUACGAACAGCUGAAUGGGGUAAACACAUGUGCAUUCAUCUCAGAGAGUUAAACCUUUCUUUUGAUUCAGCAGUUUGGAAACACUGUUUAUCAAAAAACUGAAAAAAGAACCCCUGGAAGGAAGGGAAAAGGGUAGAUGGGAAGUGUAUAAAUCACCUAAGGAACCUUUAAAGCUAACUCUAAGGAAAACCUAGAAGGAAGCUAUAAGCAGGCGCCAUCAUUGGGGGCGAAUAUAUUUACACGAGAGGUAAAAGGAGACCUAAAUAUUAAAUAGGGCCCAGUACUAGGGGUGAAAAAUAGGGAAUAUCCAGUCAAACUAAUAGUCAACAUAACUAGAACCUCCACCUCCCAGACCAGACUAUAAAGUUCAAUGCCUGCCAAGUCUUACAUUGUGGGAAUUUAGAAAACCAAAGGCAGCCGUUGCAAGCAAACCAAUAUCUGUGUCCUGAAACAGGUCGCUGUUAGGGAAAGCCCUGUGCUACUGGAAUGAGGUCUGAUGGACCACCCAGUGUCAAGGCUGGGUGAGUCAUUCUUCCAAAAACAAACCCUUAAAAAAUAAAAUACAUUUGUAUAAGGGCCCUACACCACCUAACUGUAGAAAUUUAAAAUGCAAUCUUAUAUUAAUUACCAUAAACAACCCGGCUACUCUAGACCAGGAACCUUGGAGGUAUGGAUUAGGAAUAAAUAUCUCAGGAAGGGAUCCCGCGGGACGGUUAGCUUUUAGGCUAGUCACCAACUCCACUCCGAGCCCACCCAGGGUUACUGUAACUCCCCAUCCCACUACUUCCUUUAACCCACCAAACAAUAACCCUAAAAAAGUAAAAAUAAUUAAGGUGACUAACUUAAGGCAAACUUUAGAAAUUAAGACUGGCUAUGGGGAUGUAAAUGCCUGGGUUGAAUGGGUCAAAUUUUCGGUACUAGCUCUUAAUAAAAGUGACUGUUUUGCAUGCUCUGCUGGGCAGCCUCAGGCACGGGUAGUUCCGUUUCCCCUAGGAAGGGAUACCAGUCCCAAAGGAAUGCGUUGUAUGUUGGCUCCAUACCAGGACAGGGAUGCAUGGGGAAAUAAGAUCUACAAAAGUCUAUUAUUGCUCUUUCCUGCAUUGCGGAGGUCAGAUCCUAAAGCAAUCCCCUCGUUCUCCAUAGGAAAUAUAAACCACUCCUCUUGUCUCUCUAGGCAGGGGGCAGAGUUCAACUCUCAACUUGUACCCACAUCUUAAAUGUUACUGGUAAGUCAAACAAAGGCAACUACUUGCCUCUUCAUAUACCCCCGGCUAAUGUCUAGUGGUAUUGUGGGAAAAGGAACCUCUGCAACUUGUUACUGCCCAAUUGAACCGGGACUUGUGCCUUAGUUUAACUGGCCAUUCCAUUCGCUUUGGCAAAUUCCAUAAAAUCCCCGAAAAUCCACAUGGCCACCAAAGUUGGAGAGAUCUAAGAAAUUCCUUUAAUCCCAACAUUUAUGUUAACUCAAUAGGAGCCACUAAAGGAGUACUUAAUGAAUUUAAGGACUAAAGGACACAAAAAUAAAUGUGAAAAUGGGACCAGUAGGGGUAAAAAGAAAAAGAGGAGGGAAUUGAAGGAAGUAAUGUAUACAGCCGUCCAUUUCCAAGACAAAGUGCCUUAAAUCAUCUUAGGGCAGCAAACUACAAAAGAAACUGAAAAUACUAGGUCCCUGCUUGAAUAGCCAAUGCCUGCUUGUCAGCCUCCCCUUCCCCCCACCACCCCACUUAGUUGCCCUCACCGGAACCAAAAAAGUUUAGUCUAAAAUAAAAGUUUACUAGUCUGCAAAAUAGCUCGCUUUGUCUUUUCUUAUCAGUCUGUCCAGCUACUUAGGUCAUAAGUCAAAUACUUGAAGAGCUCAUGAGCUAACUAGGAUUGCUAUGCAUUGUGGGCUGCAACAAAAUGCAGCAAGACAACCCUAAAGAAAACACCUAAAGCCCCUGCCUAACAAUCAAUAGCGACGUCCGUCUGGGAAAAUUGUAACCCUGUAGUACUCAACCUAUGAAGAAUGGCAGGGAAGGACCUGCACACUAGGGGAUAAAUUGCUUGUUAAAACUGUGCUGGGUGUGCCUGUGUGUCAAACACCCAAUCUUGCAAAACUGUCGUUACAAGUCUCACUUUGCUGUCCUGUGGGUCUCUAAGUCCAUUCUUUGAGUUUGAACAGUUAAGUUUGUUUCUCAUAGUUUGAAUGCUUAUUUUUGUACUAAAUGUUGUAUUAGGUAUCUUAUGUUUGCUGUCUUAUUUAAUUCUCACAAUAAACCUACAAAGCAGUGGUAUUCUUUCCAUUUCAUGGAUGAAGAAACUGAGGUUCACGGAGGCUCAGUAACUAAUGCAAGCCAAAUGGGUAGUGGAUGAUGGAGUGGGCUGUGAAUUCAGGUUUUCUUGUAUCACUUGACCACAGGCUAAAUGACAAGGGCUACUCUGGGGCCAAUGACAGCUCCUAAGACCCAGAACACAUGCAUGCCUGUCAGGGCAGAGAAAUUGAGUCUGUUUGGAAGCCAACUUAAGCCUUAGGAAUAUAGCCUUUAGAGCAAACGGUUUUAACCCAGGUCAGCAGAUGGAAUUCAUGGGAUCUAUGAACUUGGACAAGAAACACUUCCGCGUCAUUUUCACUAACUUUUCACUGAAUUUAGCACCUCUCUCACCUAUCACGUAGGCAAUAAAUCAGUGUUGGCCAGACCUGUAACUCUGUCAUUAAAAGAAACUACAGAUAUUUGCAUUUCACGUUACAGUGUUUACCAAUAUCUCAAAAUAUUGCUUAUGCAAUUUGUCAUGACUUUGCAUUUAUAGUAAUUAGACCUGCAGCAGACCUUGUUGUUUGUUACUCACAGAAUAUAUAUAUAUAUAUAUAUAUAAUUAUGUUAUGAAUUAGUUUUCAAAAGUGUUUUGAUAACUGUGGUUUAAUAUAAUUUAUUGGUCUUAUUUUGUGCACUUAAAAAUAUUCUUCUGGAAAAGCCUCCAUAUGCCCCACCAGACUGUCAGAGGACUCCAGAUACAGAACGGUCUCGAUGCCCUGACUCAGCAAGAGUGACUGAGUCAAAUCCUGACUGUCUCAUAUACCAGCUGGAGGACAUUAAGUUCUGUAGCCUGGUGGGAUGUCUCUCCUAAAUCAGGGUUUCUCAGCCUUGGCCCUGUUGAUGUUAGGGCUGCAUAAUUCUUUGCUGGGGAUGGUAUGGGGGUGAAUGGGGGCUAGCUCGUGCACUGUGGGAUGUGUGACAUUCCUGGCCUUGACCCACAAGAUGCAAUAGUACCCCACCCCCCAGUAUAUUCCUGGCCUUGACCCACAAGAUGCAAUAGUACCUCACCCCCCGGUUGUGACAACCCAAAAUGCCUCCUCUAGACAUUGUCUCAUGCCCCUGUGGGCAAGAUGGCCCAGUUGAGAACUGCUGUGCUAGAUGUGCAAUGUGAUAUUAGAGGAUUCUUGGGAGUACACUGCGAUCAUGCCUCAAUGCCUGAGUGCUCCAUGUGGCGCUCUAUCCUGUUUUUGUUAGGACACCAGAUUUCAGUAAGUUCAGGGUCAAGAGGGACUGGUCUCUCAGCCUGAGGGUCCACAAGGAAGUCCCUCUGGAGGGUUGGCAGCCUGCACUGGGGUGAUUCCAACUGGGAGUCCAGGGGAGCCCAGUCCUGGCGAGCUGAUGAUGGGAUGGAGAAGAACAGUGACUCAUGGGUGCCUACGGGUGCCCCGGACCUGAAAGAUAGACAGCAGGGGCUAACCCCAGAUAGGCAGGAGUGUAGAAAAUGCCUUCUCCAACCUCAGGGGAUUCUUGGUUCUUUUAAAGCCAGAAGAAUGAGGAUGGCAGGGCCACAAGCUGCCCUAAAGGAUGAUGCAGUGCUGCAGGAGAUUAAGAGGAAGGGGGCAUUUUUAAAUUCUUUUGGAGUACUGAAGGGGAAAUAACAGAAUGGUGAGAGAAGCUACUGGUUUUGAGUGUUGACACCAUGCCAGGUGCUGUUCUAAGCAGCCUAUGUCAACAUGGUACUUAAUUCUUACAGCUAACUAGGAGGUAGAUGCUGUCAAUGUCCUCAUUUGGCAAGGCUCUGAGGCUUAAAUGUCCACUGUCUUGCCUGACUUUCCUUCUGUAAAUGACAGAACUGAAAUGUAAGCCCAGAUGUGUCUAAUUUCAGUGCCCAUGAGUUAAAUCAAUAGGUAGCACUGCCCAAAUGCCAUUCCAGAUACCCAGAAAACCCAAAGCUGAUACUGCUAAACAAAGGUUAGGGGCCCGUGAGAAACUACAGAGGUCAGAGCACUCCUAAGAGACUGAAGGGGCUCAUCUGGGACAGUGUUUGACAAAAAUGCAGGAGAAGGCGGGCCUUCUGUGGACCUCCUGUGACCUAUGGACUUGGGAAUUCCUUGCCUUGUGAAUUCCAUGCCGAUGUUAGACAAGCAUCUGGAUCAAUUACUAAACCUACGUCUCGUCAGCCCUUAGAUGCCAAAUGUGUGGUUGAUAAGAAUCAUUGUCAUUUUUUGACUUUUUAAUAAUAGCCAUUCUGACUGGUAUGAGAUUGGGUAUUUUUAUUCUAAAUAAAUAUUCUUUUUUAUAACAACAACAAACAAAUCACUGUAAGAUCAUAAGUUAACAAAGAACAAAUCAUGCCAGACAAACUUCGUUCUUCUUUAUGGCUCUGCUCUCCUGAUGGCUUGGUGGGAGGUGGGGGUGGAGGGGAAUCUGCAGAUGGCUUUCCAUAGAGCAUCUGCUCCCAGCUCUCAUGAAAUCCGUGAGGACAGAUUUGGAAACAUGAGCUAGACAAUACCAGGGCAGGCUGCUUUCUGGUGGGUUAAAGACCUGUGCUCCAAGGGAACUGAUUAGCCAAUAUGGGCUUAGAGGAAUUCUCAGUGGCAAACUGGAGAUGAUUCAACAAUCAGAAUGAAAAAUGUCACCGUGACAUACUUGUGGAGAAAAGCAAACAGCACCAAGCAAGUAGAUUUUCACUAUAUCUGAGAUACCAGGGAGGGGAGCCAGUAUUACAAAAUUGCCUGGAUUUAAUGAUGAUGAUAAUAGGUAACACCUUUAAGUAUGUACUCUGUCCCCAGGUGUGGUUCUAAGCAUUUUACAUAAAUUAGUUCCUUUAGCACCUCCCAACAACCCUACAAAGUAGGUUAUAUUAUUUUCCACAUUUUACAGUUGAGGAAACUGAGGCGGAGAAUGAUUUCAUAGUUACCAGAUGCCUGAGAUUUAGAGUCCCAUUUAGCUCUGAGAUUGUAUUGGAAGGUGGGGAAAGAGUGGCUUGUAUGUGCACAAAAAGAAGAUAAUCACGGUGUGCCAAGGGGCUUAGCUGUCCCUUUCUCUGGGAGAUUUUUCUCUACCUCCCAAGUGGGGCUAGCGGCCUCUCCUAUGCACUCACAAGGCAUCCGGUACAUGGCGCUGUCCCUGCCCCUCCCCGAGGUUUAUAAUUUCCUAUGUGCAUGUUUGCCUCCCCUCUAGAUUCAUUUCAUCCCUUUAGGACCCUCAGCUUUGAGCACAGUGGCAACGCUGGGGUUUCCAGAAGUGUUGGUAAGGGGAUUGAAAUGAAUGUAAAGAUUGUAAAGUCUGAAGAAGAGACAGAAGGCCCUGGGGCCAGGGGGCAUGCAUGUGUGACAAAAUCUCAACCAAAGGCCACAGGGGAUGAGAAGAUAGAAGGAAGAAGUUGUCAUCCCCUGGAGCAUGGUAUUGAGGGAACCUGUGGGAUGGUCUUUCCCCAAGGCCUCGAUGGCCUCGCGGGGAGAGACCAUGGUAUAGACUCACUGGCCUCUCAUAAGCUUCUCCAGCUCCACAAGCCAAGAAGCCUAUGAAGUCUGUGGAGUUUCAAGUGCUGCACACUGGGCUGCUCACCUUUUCCUUUUAGAGUAAAGAGAUCAAGAAGACAUGGAGGAAAUGUAAAGAUAUAUUGGAAAGUACGUGGUAUAUAAUAUUAACUAAAGUCAAUAGUUUACAUUAGGCUUGGCUCUUGACUUCAGUUAAUAUUAUAUACCACAUAUUGAUUAAUCAGUUGUAACAGUUGUACCACACUAGUGCAAGAUGUUAAAAUAAAAAAAGGUGUGUGUGUGUGUGUGAGAGAGAGAGAGAGAGAGAGAAACAGAAAGACAGAAACAGAUGAGGUGUAUGGGAACUCUUUUUUUAGCAAUUUUUCCAUAACCUAAAAUUGUUCUAAAAAGUAAAAUCUAUUAAAACAAUACAGAGAUCUCUGUGAUCGCACCUAGAACAUACCCGGGAAAUACUGCUGAUGCACUCAUGUGCACUCACAGGAAUCACAGAACUAUACAGAGAUGGGCGCCCUCCUCAUUCCUUGGGGUAGACAGAUAUAGAAACAGGCUCAGCCAACAUCAGAUGUAACUUGCUCACUUUCUUUCCACUUCCCUUCAAUAAAUAUGCAGUAGGUGAACAUGCUUCAUAGAAUGGGAAAUGCUACACAAUUAUUAAAAACGUGUGGGCUAAAUCAAUCUAAGAGAUUGAAGAGAGCUGCUUCAAGUCAUUAUACUCAAGUGGACUCUGGGAGGGGUAGCCUUAGCAUCUGCUCCUUCUGGCCAAGGGCCAAAUGGAUUGGGGUCCCGAGCACAUCCACAGGAGGCCAGAAUGGCUGUAACUGGUGUCUCUUGUCCUGAUUAGAGGGUGAGGGCGGCUUCAGAGUUUCUAGAGUGUGGCCCCCGUCCUAAGGGGGCAUUGGGAUGGGGCUGCUCCUGAGCUGGGAGAAGGAGCUGGGAUGAGUGUCAGGCAGUUGCUGAGGGGUGGAGGAGAAGGAGCGAGCAGUUGCUAAGAGAGCUGGCAGGAGUGGAGCUGGGUGAUGUUUGACUCUGGAUUAAAAAAAUUUUUUAAGCAAGCAAAGAGAAUUUCCACUCUGCCAGAGCUAGGAGACCUUUGAGACCAUCUCUUCCAUCUUCUCACUCUAUAGCUGAGGAAACAGGGCCUGGAGGGAUCCCCCAGAGACCCAGUGGCAGUCCCACACUAGGCUGGGCUGUCCCUGACUCCUAGGCUCAUGCUUUGCAAAAUUGAAUGGGCCUGCAAAACAGCUCUCAAGCCUGAGCACUUCUCCCAUCUCACCCAAGUAACUCCUCUGCCUUGAGCCUUUUAACGGCUUCUCAUUCUGAGAGGAACCACUUACCUCCCCUACCAUGGUAUCUCAGGCCUUGACAGGCUGUCCUUCUCAUCUCUCCAGUCCCAUCUCUCUCCCCUUCUACCCACCUCCCCGCCCCUACCCAGCCUCCUCUCCAUCCCCAACCCCCAGGCCCUGGAAGCACUGAAGACCCCUACUUUUCCUACCCAGCCAGGUGUCCUUUGUCUCCGGGAUGGGAUGUGUGCUCUUCCACCCCCAGUUCAUCUCCCACUCUGCCUGCUACCAGCGGGGCUGCCAUUUCCAGGACAGCCUUCCCCGAGAGUCCAGGCCUAGGUCAAAUGUCCUGUAGUCCCUCCAUUGUAGCUGUCUGCCUACCAGCCCUUAUUUCCCACUGGGCCAGAGAGCACCGACAGAGCCUGGCGCAGAGGAGGUGCUUCAUAAAUAUUUAUUGACUGAAACUGGGUCUACAAAUAUUUCUUACAGGCUACAAGCAGAAAGUAUUAGUCUCAGUUCCCUCAGGCUCCCUCUCAUCCCCUUCCCCCACCUCUCCAUGCAUCUGCUGGUGUUUAGGUUCCUUUUCCCCAUGGCCCUGGAGAACCAGUGGACCAGGGCACCAGGGGCAACCGCAAUGGCUCUGAACAUGUGGAUGGGAUGAGGCUCUAAGUAAGGCAGGUUCAUGGCUCCUAUGCAAGUAGCUAGACUACUUCCUUGGCCAUUUAAAACAAGGCAUGACUGGUUUUUAUCCCUGUGUGGAGAUGGUACAAUGCCUGCUAUGGCAGUUGAACACGGCUGGUUGACGCACACACACUCUGCAUUAAGUUUUAUGCUUUCAACACCACCAUGUUCAGUGUUUGCCCUCCCUGACAAGUGACUGCUGCUCUCCGGGGCUCUGCUCUGCCUGCUAGACCAGUCAUCUUUACUGUGGUCUUUCCCCUUUAUUGCCUUGGAAAUGUAUGGGCAUUAACUUUUAUGCUUUAAAUCCAAAUAGACGAUAAAAUUAAGGAAGCAGGUUAGUGUUAAUCUACAGGGUUGCCUGUGGAAACAAUCUGAGUCCUUCAGAGUCCUUGAGGGGAUUUCUGAGGUUGUCCUCCCCUCCCUGAGCAAAACUUUCUGUAGCAUGCAGAGAAGGGCUGUGCUUGGAAGGAGGUCAAAUGCCCCUUGGGCCAAGGAGUGAAAACUUCCCUUUGCAUGGCAAACUCAGCACAUAGAAGCCAGAGAUGGGCUCCGGGAAGAGGAUCCCAGAGGAAUGGGGGUAGCACGUGUCAGUCUGUCUGCUUCAGGCAGACCCAAAUAAGCUUCACCUGCAAACACAUUCGAGGGGGAAAGAACCAAGGCAGGUUACAGGUGACGGGUAUGCACAUGGAGUUCAUCACCCACAUAAACCCUCCCGCCCUCUCACAGGGGGCAGCGGCUGUCAUUUAUCAAAUGCCCACUUUGCACUGGGUGCUUGACUUACAUUAGCUGUCAUCUUUGCCACAGCCCAGUGAGGAAAGCAGAGGUAAACCUUCUCUAAUUUCUACAUGAAGACAUUGAGAUACACAGCCAGCUGGUGGUAGAGGUAAGUUUUGAAGCCAGGCAAUGAGCCCGUUCUAAAGCCCAUGCUCUCUCAUGAUUUUGCACUGCCUCUGCAGGAAUUCCUAGAGAUUAGGACCAUAUUAGGGGAGGGGAAUGGGGUCUGCCUGCUGGGCAUAGAGCGAGAGAACAAAGAAGUGGGAGAGGCAUCUGGGCUGGCAGGGCUGCAGCCCACCAGCCUUUGCAUUUGACAGUCCUAGGCCUGCUGUGUGGCCAGGGGCAAACACUUCUGCAGGGACAGGAGAGGCAGCUUUGUCUGUGCGCCAGCUGCUGGGCAGGGUGUAAUUAGGUGGGAAAGGCUCUAAAUGUUCCACACAGGCAAAUCACAACCUUGCAAUUAAAAAAAGCUACAUGGAAGUGCAGUGUGAAGGCGCCUGUGACUUCUGCUGUGCUUAUCAUGGGGAGCAAGUCAGCCAGAAAACUGCUGCUCUGCAGUUCCUUGGAUCCAACACUUAGCUGAACCUCUCAGGCUGACUUGAUGGCACACACUUGGCUUCACCACUGCACCCUCUUGAAUGCACUGCUGAGGGGCAGCCUUCUUGCCCUCUCCCAAAGUAGAGAGCACCGUGCUGGGCAUGGUUCUCUCACAGCACACUGAUAAGGCACAAGACACAAUACAGCCCCACCUGUUCCAAAUCUCCUCAUUCCCGAGCACUGUGAGAGAGGCUGGCUCUGUUCAGUCAUAUCCAGGAGGCCUCUGGGGAUUUUUAAAAAAAAAGGAAAUUGGGAUCAUGACAUGCUUGGAAUAUGGCGAGGAUUUUUUCCUGCCAUGUAAGUGCACUAUAAUGGGAAAAAACAAUCACUGUAAACAAUAUUUGUGGGCGAGACUCUGAUGUGGCCCCAAAGUAGAUGGAUCUAGGGGAGGGGCCCAGUGACUUGAUUAGACACUGUUUGAUGCUGCAAGUAAGCAGGCCCUGGCUUCCUAUCAGCCUCUGUUCUUAGGACAAUGCUGACACUAAUACCUUGAUGUACGUGGUACCUGUGUGCUGUAGUUUGGAUGUUGGUCCCCUCUGAGUCUCGUGUUGAAAUGUGAUCCCCAGUGUUGGAAAUGGGGCCUAAUGGGAGGUGUUUGGGUCACAGGAUGGAUCCCUCAUAAAUGGCCUGCUGCCAGUCUUGCAAUGAGUGAGUUCUUGCUCUGUUAGUUCCCAUGAGAGCUGGGGUUUUUUUAAUUAUUUUUUUUAGAAGGAGUUUUGCUCUUGUUGCCCAGGCUGGAGUGCAAUGGCACAAUCUCAGCUCACCGCAACCUCUACCUCCCAGGUUCAAGUGAUUCUCCUGCCUCAGCCUCCCGAGUAGCUGGGAUUAUAGGCAUGCAUCACCAUGCCCUACUAAUUUUGUAUUUUUAGUAGAGAUGGGGUUUCUCCACGUUGGUCAGGCUGGUCUCAAACUCCUGAUCUCUGCUGAUCUGCUGGUCUUGGCCUUCCAAAGUGUUGGGGUCACAGGCAUGAGCCACUGUGCCUGGCCAAGAGCUGGUUGUUAAAAAUAACCUGGCACCUCCCUCCCUCUCUCUUGCCUCCUCUCGCCAUGUAAUCUCUGCACAUGCAGGCUCCCCUUCGCCUUCUGCCAUGAGUGGAAGCAGCCUGAGGCCCUCACCAGAUGCAGAUGCCAGUGCCAUGCUUCCUAUAUGGCCUACAGAACCUUGAGCCAAAUAAACCUCUUUCUUUAUAAAUUACCCAGCCUCAGAUAUUUCUUUAUAAGAAACGCAAAUGGACAAAGAUAGAAAAUUGGUGCCGAGGAGUAGGGCAUUGCUACAAAGAUACCUGAAAAUGUAGAAGCAGCUUUGGAACUUCACCCAGUAAUGGGUGAAGGCUGGAAGAAUUUAGAGGGCUCAGAAGAAGAGAAAAAGAUACGAGAAAGUUUGAAAUUUCUUAAGGAUUGGUUAAGUUUUUGUGACCAAAAUGCUGUUAGAAAUAUAGACAGUGAAGGCCAUACACAAGGUUUCAGAUGGAAAUGAGGAACUUAUUGGGAACUGGAGCAAAGGCCAGCAUUGUCAUAAAUUGGCAAACAACUUGGCUGCCUUGUGUCCAUGCCCUAGGGCUUUGUGGAAGGCUGAAUUUAAGAGUGACGACCUGGCUGGGCGCGGUGGCUCUCAUCUGUAAUCCCAGCACUUUGGGAGGCUGAGGCGGGCAGAUCAUGAGGUCACGAGUUCCAGACCAGCCUGGUUCACAUGGUGAAACCCCGUCUCUACUAAAAA
rnacentral:lncRNA from 1 species